rnacentral:rRNA from 1 species
UUGAAGGGUUUGAUCCUGGCUCAGAACGAACGUUGGCGGCGUGGAUGAGGCAUGCAAGUCGAGCGAGAAAGCUCCUUCGGGAGUGAGUAAAGCGGCGGACGGGUGAGUAACACGUAAUCAAGCUACCCAUUGGACUGGAAUAACUUCGGGAAACCGGAGCUAAUGCCGGAUGGUUCCCCUGGUCGCAUGGCUGGGAGGAUAAAGGGCGGGAUCUUUCGGGACCGCCCGCCGAUGGACGUGAUUGCGGCCUAUCAGCUUGUUGGUGGGGUAAUGGCCUACCAAGGCGACGACGGGUAGCGGGUCUGAGAGGAUGAUCCGCCACACUGGGACUGAGACACUGCCCAGACUCCUACGGGAGGCUGCAGUCGAGAAUCUUCCGCAAUGGGCGCAAGCCUGACGGAGCGACGCCGCGUGUAGGACGAAGGCCCUUGGGUUGUAAACUACUGUCACGGGUUAUGAAUGCGCGUAUAUUAAUAGUGUGCGUGUUGACGUAAGCUCGAGAGGAAGCGCCGGCUAAUUCUGUGCCAGCAGCCGCGGUAAUACAGAAGGCGCAAACGUUGUUCGGAAUCACUGGGCAUAAAGCGUGCGUAGGCGGCUAUGUAAGUGUGGGGUGAAAGCCCACGGCUCACCCGUGGAAUUGCUUCGCAUACUGCAUAGCUAGAGGACGGUAGGGGAGAGCGGAACUCCUGGAGGAGCGGUGAAAUGCGUAGAUAUCAGGAGGAACACCAGUGGCGAAGGCGGCUCUCUGGUCCGUUACUGACGCUGAGGCACGAAAGCUAGGGUAGCGAACGGGAUUAGAUACCCCGGUAGUCCUAGCCGUAAACGAUGGGCACUAGCUUGAGGCCUCCCUGUGUGGUCUCAGGUGAAGCAAAUGCACUAAGUGCCCCGCCUGGGGAGUAUGGUCGCAAGGCUGAAACUCAAAGGAAUUGACGGGGGCUCACACAAGCGGUGGAGCAUGUGGUUUAAUUCGA